UACGGAGGAUGCGAGCGUUAUCCGGAUUUAUUGGGUUUAAAGGGUGCGUAGGCGGUCCGUUAAGUCAGCGGUAAAAUUGCGGGGCUCAACCCCGUCGAGCCGUUGAAACUGUCAGACUUGAGUUGGCGAGAAGUACGCGGAAUGCGCGGUGUAGCGGUGAAAUGCAUAGAUAUCGCGCAGAACUCCGAUUGCGAAGGCAGCGUACUGGCGCCACACUGACGCUGAGGCACGAAAGCGUGGGGAUCGAACAGG
rnacentral:rRNA from 1 species